GGAUGGACCUGCGAUGCAUUAGCUAGUUGGGUAAGGGUAACGGGCUUACCAAGGCGAUGAUGCAUAGCCCGAGUUGAGAGACUGAUCGGGCCACAUUGGGACUGAGACACGGCCCAAACUCCUACGGGAGGCAGUAGUAGGGGAAUCUUCCACAAUGGACGAAAAGUCUGAUGGAGCAAACGCCGCGUGAGUGAAGAAGGUUUUCGGAUCGUAAAAAGCUCUGUUGUUGGUGAAGAAGGAUAGAGGUAGUAACUGGCCCUUUAUUUGACGGUAAUCAACCCAGAAAGUCACGGGCUAACUACGUGCCCAGCAGCCGCGGUAAAU
rnacentral:rRNA from 1 species